rnacentral:rRNA from 1 species
GAUGAACGCUGGCGGCGUGCCUAAUACAUGCAAGUCGAGCGAACAGACGAGGAGCUUGCUCCUCUGACGUUAGCGGCGGACGGGUGAGUAACACGUGGAUAACCUACCUAUAAGACUGGGAUAACUUCGGGAAACCGGAGCUAAUACCGGAUAACAUGUUGAACCGCAUGGUUCAACAGUGAAAGACGGUCUUGCUGUCACUUAUAGAUGGAUCCGCGCCGCAUUAGCUAGUUGGUAAGGUAACGGCUUACCAAGGCAACGAUGCGUAGCCGACCUGAGAGGGUGAUCGGCCACACUGGAACUGAGACACGGUCCAGACUCCUACGGGAGGCAGCAGUAGGGAAUCUUCCGCAAUGGGCGAAAGCCUGACGGAGCAACGCCGCGUGAGUGAAGAAGGUCUUCGGAUCGUAAAACUCUGUUAUUAGGGAAGAACAAAUGUGUAAGUAACUAUGCACGUCUUGACGGUUCCUAAUCAGAAAGCCACGGCUAACUACGUG